UCCUAGCCCCGAUAGAGGCGGUAUCCUUUUUUUGGGUGAUUUUUCUUCACCCGAAAAAAGAUAUAGCCGAAAGCGGGAUCAGCU
rnacentral:sRNA from 4 species